rnacentral:rRNA from 1 species
CUGUUGGUUGAGUAAAUUCAGUCAGUAGCGAAGCUAACGCGUUAAGUUCUCCGCCUGGGGAGUACGACCGCAAGGUUGAAACUCAAAGGAAUUGACGGGGGCCCGCACAAGCGGUGGAGCAUGUGGUUUAAUUCGAUGCAACGCGAAGAACCUUACCAUCCCUUGACAUCCUCAGAAUUUGUCGUAAUGACUUAGUGCCUUCGGGAACUGAGAGACAGGUGCUGCACGGCUGUCGUCAGCUCGUGUCGUGAGGUGUUGGGUUAAGUCCCGCAACGAGCGCAACCCCUAUCUUUAGUUGCCAGCACGUAAUGGUGGGAACUCUAGAGAGACUGCCGGUGAUAAGCCGGAGGAAGGUGGGGACGACGUCAAGUCAUCAUGGCCCUUACGGGAUGGGCUACACACGUGCUACAAUGGUGUAUACAGAGGGUUGCCAACCCGCGAGGGGGAGCUAAUCCCAGAAAGUACAUCUUAGUCCGGAUCGCAGUCUGCAACUCGACUGCGUGAAGUUGGAAUCGCUAGUAAUCGCGAAUCAGCAACGUCGCGGUGAAUACGUUCCCGGGCCUUGUACACACCGCCCGUCACACCAUGGGAGUGGGUUGCACCAGAAGUAGCUAGACUAACCUUCGGGGGGUCGGUUACCACGGUGUGGUUCAUGACUGGGGUGAAGUCGUAACAAGGUAGCCG